GAAAAUGCUGUGAAGGAGAGAGUAGCAUAAUACCGUGUCUAAAAGAGAGCUGGGGUAGGUGAAAGCCAGUGGCACAGGGUUAUGUGAAGAUGGCUCUGGAGCACAACAGUCGAUAUGUAGGCUGUUGCGGCGUUGCCGUUAUCUUAAUUAAGGCCGUAUGGCGAAGUAGGGUGGUACCGCGAUGCCUCGCCCCUAUA
rnacentral:ncRNA from 1 species